rnacentral:sRNA from 1 species
UCAAGAACUUCUGGCCCCGACGGCCAUC